rnacentral:rRNA from 1 species
AUUGAACGCUGGCGGCAUGCCUUACACAUGCAAGUCGAACGGCAGCACGGGAGCAAUCCUGGUGGCGAGUGGCGAACGGGUGAGUAAUAUAUCGGAACGUGCCCAGUCGUGGGGGAUAACGUAGCGAAAGCUACGCUAAUACCGCAUACGAUCUAUGGAUGAAAGCGGGGGAUCGCAAGACCUCGCGCGAUUGGAGCGGCCGAUAUCAGAUUAGGUAGUUGGUGAGGUAAAGGCUCACCAAGCCGACGAUCUGUAGCUGGUCUGAGAGGACGACCAGCCACACUGGGACUGAGACACGGCCCAGACUCCUACGGAGGCAGCAGUGGGGAAUUUUUGGACAAUAGGGCGCAAGCCUGAUCCAGCAAUGCCGCGUGCAGGAUGAAGGCCUCGGUUGUAACU